rnacentral:rRNA from 1 species
AGUGGCGGACGGGUGAGUAACGCGUGGGUAACCUGCCUCAUACAGGGGGAUAACAGUUGGAAACGGCUGCUAAUACCGCAUAAGCGCACAGUACCGCAUGGUACCGUGUGAAAAACUCCGGUGGUAUGAGAUGGACCCGCGCCUGAUUAGCUAGUUGGUGGGGUAACGGCCUACCAAGGCGACGAUCAGUAGCCGACCUGAGAGGGUGACCGGCCACAUUGGGACUGAGACACGGCCCAA